ACUCAUACCUUGCAGGGGUAAUGCCAUGUCAUAAAAGUGGUUUUCCUAGGGGGAGGCUCAUCCAUUGCACUUUAGGUAUGCUGCUGAUCCCUGUAAUUUCCCCAAAUGGGGGGAACUCAACUGCAUAAUUUGUGUUAAUGGGAGAUUGCACUUGUGAUUUCUCUGG
rnacentral:snRNA from 1 species